rnacentral:snoRNA from 1 species
CAUCCUCAGUUUUACUCCAGGGCCUCUCUGAACCAUGAAAUGACCUGGCAUUGCCUGAGGGUACUUUAAAACCUUACUCAAUCCCCUCCCCAACAGGUAUUCUGAGUUUCCUUUGGAGUCUACAGGUUGAGCAAACAUA